GUGACAGGUGGUGCAUGGUUGUCGUCAGCUCGUGUCGUGAGAUGUUGGGUUAAGUCCCGCAACGAGCGCAACCCUUAAGCUUAGUUGCCAUCAUUAAGUUGGGCACUCUAGGUUGACUGCCGGUGACAAACCGGAGGAAGGUGGGGAUGACGUCAAAUCAUCAUGCCCCUUAUGAUUUGGGCUACACACGUGCUACAAUGGACAAUACAAAGGGCAGCUAAACCGCGAGGUCAUGCAAAUCCCAUAAAGUUGUUCUCAGUUCGGAUUGUAGUCUGCAACUCGACUACAUGAAGCUGGAAUCGCUAGUAAUCGUAGAUCAGCAUGCUACGGUGAAUACGUUCCCGGGUCUUGUACACACCGCCCGUCACACCACGAGAGUUUGUAACACCCGAAGCCGGUGGAGUAACCAUUUAUGGAGCUAGCCGUCGAAGGUGGGACAAAUGAUUGGGGUGAAGUCGUAACAAGGUAGCCGUAUCGGAAGGUGCGGUUGGAUCACCUC
rnacentral:rRNA from 1 species